rnacentral:misc_RNA from 1 species
AACGCACAUUGCGCCCUUUGGUAUUCCGAAGGGCAUGCCUGUUCGAGCGUCAUUUCAAACCAUCAAGCUCUGCUUGGUAUUGGACCCGGUCGCUAGCGACCCGUCCGAAACUCCUAGGCGGCACCGUCCGGUACCGAGCGUAGUUAAUCCAUCGCUCUGGUGACCCGUGGCUGGUUGCUCACCAGAUGAGAAACCCCUCUGAAGUUUGACCUCGGAUCAGGUAGGGAUACCCGCUGAACUUAA